GAUGUCCAAGGACUGAGAAGGAUUGUGUGUCUCUACUUAUUAGCUUGAGAAACCUUGCCAGAGGUCCUUGGACGCUUUCUACUCACAUCUAUUUGCCCAAAUUAGAUAUAUCCCUGGCAAGGUGAGUGAGUGCCUUAGAUCAGUCCCAAUUCCCUUCUGUAGGCCUGAAGCUAGAGAGACUUAGCAGGAAGAUGGAAUUUACCCAAAAGUAGAGCUCUGCCAGCAUGGGAAAAAGGAAAAGUGCCUGCAACAGGCCACACUAUCCUAAGCUCCUGAAUGCACUGUGACAUCCAGAUGUCCUGGGGAAGACAUAAACACAUCAUACAGCACCCACAGGAACCUCAAGAGACUGGAGUUAA
rnacentral:lncRNA from 1 species